rnacentral:rRNA from 1 species
GACAGAGGAGACAGGUGGUGCAUGGUUGUCGUCAGCUCGUGUCGUGAGAUGUUGGGUUAAGUCCCGCAACGAGCGCAACCCUUACCUUCAGUAGCCAGCGAGUAAAGUCGGGCACUCUGGAGGGACUGCCAGGGAUAACCUGGAGGAAGGUGGGGAUGACGUCAAAUCAUCAUGCCCCUUAUGAUUUGGGCUACACACGUGCUACAAUGGCGUAAACAAAGGGAAGCGAAGCCGUGAGGUGAAGCAAAUCCCAAAAAUAACGUCUCAGUUCGGAUUGUAGUCUGCAACUCGACUACAUGAAGCUGGAAUCGCUAGUAAUCGCGAAUCAGAAUGUCGCGGUGAAUACGUUCCCGGGUCUUGUACACACCGCCCGUCACACCAUGGGAGUUGGUAACGCCCGAAGUCAGUGACUCAACCGAAAGGGGAGAGCUGCCGAAGGCGGGACUGAUAACUGGGGUGAAGUCGUAACAAGGUAGCCGUAUCGGAAGGUGCGGUUGGAUCACCUC